CCUACGGGAGGCAGCAGUGGGGAAUAUUGGACAAUGGGCGAAAGCCUGAUCCAGCCAUGCCGCGUGUGUGAAGAAGGCCUUCGGGUUGUAAAGCACUUUCAGUGGGGAAGAAAGCCUUGGGGCUAAUACCCUCGAGGAAGGACAUCACCCACAGAAGAAGCACCGGCUAACUCCGUGCCAGCAGCCGCGGUAAUACGGAGGGUGCGAGCGUUAAUCGGAAUUACUGGGCGUAAAGCGCGCGUAGGCGGUCUGAUAAGCCGGUUGUGAAAGCCCCGGGCUCAACCUGGGAACGGCAUCCGGAACUGUCAGGCUAGAGUGCAGGAGAGGAGGGUAGAAUUCCCGGUGUAGCGGUGAAAUGCGUAGAGAUCGGGAGGAAUACCAGUGGCGAAGGCGGUCUUCUGGACUGACACUGACGCUGAGGUGCGAAAGCGUGGGUAGCAAACAGGAUUAGAUACCCUGGUAGUC
rnacentral:rRNA from 1 species